rnacentral:lncRNA from 1 species
AAAUAAACCCAAAACAACGCCGAAAAUCCAACCGAAAGAACAAUGACGUCAUCGGAUUUUUUUUUUUUUUUUUUUUUUUUUCAUUCGUUGUUAAGAGCAGUAGUUGACCUGUGCUUUGUUCGCUGUUACUUCAACAAAUAUUUCCAGGGGUUUGGGACCAUCUCUACUUGCCUGUCGUUUGUGACUGUCGCUUGGGGUCUUCCUUUGUAUAUUUCCAAAUUCUCUGCUGCUCGCAGUUCGUCUGGAUUCUCCACUUGCCUGACUGCCUUCGCUUGUCCCCACUUUGUGUCUGUAUUUGCCUCAUAAGCUCUAGUCAAGAACGCACAAGGGAGUUAGUGGAGCAGUA